rnacentral:rRNA from 1 species
UACGAAGGGGGGCGAGCGUUGUUCGGAAUUACUGGGCGUAAAGGGCGCGCAGGCGGCUCUGAAAAGUCAGAUGUGAAAAGCCCCCGGGCUUAACCUGGGGGCUGCAUUUGAUACGUGUUGUCUUGAGUUCGGAAGAGGGUCGUGGAAUUCCCAGUGUAGAGGUGAAAUUCGUUAGAUAUUGGGAAGAACACCGGUGGCGAAGGCGGCGACCUGGUCCGGACACUGACGCUGAGGCGCCGAAAGCGUGGGGAGCAAA